GGCUAAGUAACAUAAUAGGGAAUGUAUUAGAUUGCAAAUCUUAGAAUGAUGGUUCAAAUCCGUCCUUAGCCU
rnacentral:tRNA from 2 species